AUAAAGAUGGCAGAAAAGUGCAUUAGAUUUAAGCUCUAAAUAUAUAGAUUAAAUUUCUUUUCUUUAUA
rnacentral:tRNA from 2 species